CGGACGGGUGAGUAACGCGUGGAAAACCUGCCGUAUACUGGGGGAUAACACUUAGAAAUAGGUGCUAAUACCGCAUAAGCGCACAGCUUCGCAUGAAGUGGUGUGGAAAACUCUGGUGGUAUACGAUGGUUCCGCGUCUGAUUAGCUUGUUGGCGGGGUAAUGGCUCACCAAGGCGACGAUCAGUAGCCGGCCUGAGAGGGUGAACGGCCACAUUGGGACUGAGACACGGCCCAAACUCCUACGGGAGGCAGCAG
rnacentral:rRNA from 1 species